rnacentral:rRNA from 1 species
GUGCAGCAGGCGCGAAACCUCCGCAAUGCGGGCAACCGCGACGGGGGACCCCCAGUGCCGUGGCAUCGCCACGGCUUUUCCGGAGUGUAAAAAGCUCCGGGAAUAAGGGCUGGGCAAGGCCGGUGGCAGCCGCCGCGGUAAUACCGGCGGCCCGAGUGGUGGCCGCUAUUAUUGGGCCUAAAGCGUCCGUAGCCGGGCCUGUAAGUCCCUGGCGAAAUCCCACGGCUCAACCGUGGGGCUUGCUGGGGAUACUGCAGGCCUUGGGACCGGGAGAGGCCGGGGGUACCCCUGGGGGUAGGGGUGAAAUCCUAUAAUCCCAGGGGGACCGCCAGUGGCGAAGGCGCCCGGCUGGAACGGGUCCGACGGUGAGGGACGAAGGCCAGGGGAGCGAACCGGAUUAGGAUACCCGCGUAGUCCCUA